GAUGAACGCUGGCGGCGUGCCUAAUACAUGCAAGUCGAGCGAACAGACGAGGAGCUUGCUCCUCUGACGUUAGCGGCGGACGGGUGAGUAACACGUGGAUAACCUACCUAUAAGACUGGGAUAACUUCGGGAAACCGGAGCUAAUACCGGAUAAUAUAUUGAACCGCAUGGUUCAAUAGUGAAAGACGGUUUUGCUGUCACUUAUAGAUGGAUCCGCGCCGCAUUAGCUAGUUGGUAAGGUAACGGCUUACCAAGGCAACGAUGCGUAGCCGACCUGAGAGGGUCAUCGGCCCCACUGGAACUGGACCACGGUCCAGCCUCCUCCGGGGGGCGGCAGUGGGAAAUCUUCCGCAAUGGGCGAAAGCCUGACGGAGCAACGCCGCGUGAGUGAUAAAGGUCUUCGGAUCUAAAAACUUUUUUAUAAGGGAAAAACAAAUGUGUAAGUAACUAUGCACGCCUGGAGGGUCCCAAAUCAGAAACCCACGCCUAACUACGGC
rnacentral:rRNA from 1 species